UGUUGGCCCUAUCGAAGCAGGUUCUCUGCUGAACAAUUGGCGUAACCUGUCAAUAAUGGGUCAAGAAAGAAUUCUCUAUCGACGGUCAUUGAAUACCUUACCCUUGUUUGGCAUGGUUUAUCAAUAACAUAACUGACGGAGAAACAGUA
rnacentral:snoRNA from 1 species